rfam:Equus caballus chromosome 7, whole genome shotgun sequence.
GCCCUGGUGGUCUAGUGGUUAAGAUUCAGCGCUCUCACUGCUGCGGCCUGGGUUCAUUUCCCAGUCAGGGAA